AGAUAACUAGUCCAAUCAACAAGACAACUAAUUUCGACUUAGUUAAUCAUGAUAAACCCAUGGUUAUCUU
rnacentral:tRNA from 1 species